UACAGAGGUCUCAAGCGUUAUCCGGAUUCACUGGGUUUAAAGGGUGCGUAGGCGGGUAAGUAAGUCCGUGGUGAAAUCUCUGAGCUUAACUCAGAAACUGCCGUGGAUACUAUUUGCCUUGAAUAUUGUGGAGGUGAGCGGAAUAUGUCAUGUAGCGGUGAAAUGCUUAGAUAUGACAUAGAACACCAAUUGCGAAGGCAGCUCACUACACAAUGAUUGACGCUGAGGCACGAAAGCGUGGGGAUCAAACAGG
rnacentral:rRNA from 1 species